GCCGCGAAGGGCGGGGCCGAGGAGAGAACUAGGACAGGGAGACGUCGACGUCGUCCCGCUUUUCAGGCGAGCCGGAAUGCUCCCAAAUUGGAGUAUCUGUAGGUUUAUACCUCCUCUGUGCUCCCUGAGCAGCACUCUCCCCCUCCAACCUGUCUCAGGUUCCCCACAAAAAGUGUGUUUGGGAGACGUGUGGCCCUUUGGACGGAGGCCUGUGAGGGUCUUCCCCGUCCUUCCUGUGUUUCUGACAUAGCUGCCAGUGUCAAAGAGGGCCAAGUCUUGCCAGAGAGGGAGAAGGGCAGGGGAGCCCUCGGAAACCCAUCAGAAAGGCUGCUGCAUCCCAGUCUCCACAAGGGCGCAGCAAAGACUCGACCUGUUUAUACUCUGUGUGCCUUCAAGACACCUGUCAGUGAAUGGCAAUCCCAUUCAAUUCAGUUUUCUCGGACAAAGCAACAUUGGGUGGUUUUGUGAGUGGCCGCCCAUCCAGGAGCAACUUGACGCUUCUGGUGUGAGAGAAUUGGCCGUCGGCAACGACAUUGCCCAGGGGACACCUGGAUGUUUUGAUAUUUUACCAUCCUUGUGGAGGCUUCCCUCAUGUCCCUGCAUGGGGAGCCGGAGCUGACAGAGGGAGCUCAUCCACACUCUCCCCGGAUUCAAACCUGCAAUUCGUCAGUCUUCAGUCCUGCCAGCACAAGGGUUUUAACCCAUUGCACCACUGGGGGUUCCUAUCAGCAUGCUGAAGAUAGUUGAAAGAAAGGAUCACAGCAUCAUAUUUCCUUAGAUUGUGCCAACAAAUCAAUAUCAUACAAGAUUUAUUCUGUAGUAAGGAAUUACAUAACAAUAUAUAACAUGAGGUAUACAUUCCCUGGAAAUAUUACAGUCAUGUGGUUUGGGGAGGUCCCACUCACAGACUGCCAAUAAUAAAUAUGUAUCUCUGUUAAUGUAGUAGGAGUGUUCUUGAGUAUUCCUUCUUUAACAGAAAUUUUGGUACCAGAAGCAGAAGUAACAUGGAAAGAAUAGAGAGACGUUCCUAUGUAACGAAAACAAGAUCAGCAUGGACAUGUUUCAGCAGACUUUUUAUUGUGAACUAAAGAUAUGCAUAUUUGAAAUAAGAAACCAGGUCAAGCAAGCAUUGCAUGACUACAGCCAGCCCUCAACAUUCACAGGUUCUACUCCCACUGAUUGAACCAACUGGCUUGAAAAUACUUGGAGGGAGGGGGGAACCCCGAAACAACCUUGAUUAUGUCUUGUGCCUAGCACUAUCAAUGUAUAGACAUGCUUUACAAUAGUCUCUCACCAUUUCACAGAUCCUUAAACUUUCUCUGACCCUUGUUUUAGCUGUUUCUAAGUACAUGCAAACUGUCUGUUUAAUUAUUUCUUCUAGAAUAUUUCUUGAUACUGAUGUCAGGCUAACUAGGCAUUAAUUAUUUGGGUCUUCUUUUUAAAUUUUUAAUAAUAAAUAAAUAAAAACUUUAUUUAUAUCCUG